rnacentral:lncRNA from 1 species
UCCGGGUUCCUCCUCUACAAGGAGCUCGGUCGCAGGCUCAAGGUUCGUGUACCUCUUCUUCUUCUCUGCUUUUUUGCAUGUAGGCAUUUCGUCGAGCAGCUGGUGGGUAUGCGCUGAUGCCGCGUUUCCUUUUCAGAAAACUAACCCCGUGGUGGCUGAGAUCUUCUCGCUCAUGUCCAGGGACGAGGCCCGGCACGCUGGGUAUGUACUUGCGAUCUUAUUCCCAUCAAUACAAUACAAUACAAUUUGAUAGGGCGUAACCAGAAGCCAAAUUUCAAAUGCACUGACUAUGACCAGAAAUGCCUUCUUCUCUCAUGUAAAAAGUUUAAGCUAUUAACUACUGUAAAAUUUCAAAUGCACUAUGACUCAGUUCCGCAAGAAUUAAAUUAUUAACUACUGUAGUUUAGCUCUCGACAUGAUUCGUGUUAUUCAUACAAAUAACAUGAUUCGUGCUGUGUAGGUUCUUGAACAAGGGGCUAUCCGACUUCAACCUGGCUCUGGACCUCGGGUUCUUGACCAAGGCUAGGAAGUACACCUUCUUCAAGCCAAAGUUCAUCUUCUACGCCACGUACCUGUCCGAGAAGAUCGGCUACUGGAGGUACAUCACCAUCUUCAGGCACCUCAAGGCCAACCCGGAGUACCAGGUGUACCCCAUCUUCAAGUACUUCGAGAACUGGUGCCAGGACGAGAACCGGCACGGUGAUUUCUUCUCUGCGCUGCUAAAGGCGCAGCCGCAGUUCCUCAAUGACUGGAAGGCCAAGCUCUGGUCACGCUUCUUCUGCCUCUCGGUAAAGCAAGCUAAUCCCUUCAUUUUCUUGGAUGGGCUAAUUAAUUAACCCUGGGAGUUUGCAACUGUCCCUCUUUCUAACAGCUGCGUGUAAUGGGACGACACUUCACAGGUGUAUAUAACCAUGUACCUGAAUGACUGCCAACGUAGUGCCUUCUAUGAAGGAAUCGGUCUCAACACCAAAGAAUUCGACAUGCAUGUCAUCUAUGAG